UAGAGUGUGGCUUAGGGGGUUUGAAUGUUGGACUAUAACUUUGGAGACCAGGGUUCAAAUCCCUCCAGUUGAC